rnacentral:lncRNA from 1 species
UAAUAGAUUUAUAGAAACUUUAUACAUAUUUUAAAAGUUUUCAAUGAAAGGAUAAAUUUCAAAAUUAUAUAUUAUAGAUAACGCCAUAAUUUAAAUCUUUAUCAAUAAAGUCAUUGUCUUUUAUAAAAAUAAAGUCAUUUAAAAUUAUGAAACUGAAGUAAAAUAAAAAACUUUUAAAAAAUUAAAAAAAAAAUUAAUAACAUGAAAUAAUUUUUUUAAAGAAAAGAAUUAAGAGGAUUAAGACAAAUUGUUCUACCAAACCUGCACCUAGAGGCAGUUUUUAGAACAUAGCCACUGAUGUGUGUACCAUUGACGAAGAACAUCAAGAAAAACCAGGAAAAUUAUGUAUAAUUCACUUAUUUACUGAAGAAAUAGACAAAAUAAACAGUAUGAAUAUAUUUAAAAUAAGUGAGCUAAAACCAAUAAUGCCAACAGAGUUCUGCUCAGAAAGCAUGAAAUUUCUUCUCAUGGAUUUUUUUUUUUUAAAUCUCUGAAGUCUGACAUGUGAAUUUUUCAUAAAUCGUCACGGCAGAAGUAAAAGAACUAAACCAAAUAAUAACAAAUAAAUCAAUAAUAUAAUAAUAAAACGAAACGUGUCAUCUAUUAAACAAAAUUAACAAUAAAAAUUUAAUUAGUUGAAUUAAAAAUAAAACGAAAUUGCAGCAGCUCUCAUACUCGAAACAAUUAUCUGUUCAUAUUCCCUGUCAGAAUAGCGUAUAUCGCCUUAUAAUAAGGCAGGAAAUCAUAGAGCUGCUAAAAUUAUUUCGUAGCAUAUCGAGAUAAAUUUAAAAAAAGUUGAAUCUUAUUUUAUUUUCGAUGAAUUUGUGUAAAAUUUUGGGCAAUUUCAAAGAACAUAAGAGGAGAUCAGAGAUUGGUAGGGUUUAUCUGUCACGGUUUAUUCAGAAACACGGACCAAAUUGGGUAUUCAUCAUAUCUCCCAGAUUCCAAAAAAUAAAAAACUAGAAUUAAUCAAAAUAAUUUUUAAAAAAUAAAUUUAUAAUAGAAAUAGGGAAAAUGAAUUUGGAAUUAAAGAGAUGAGAAAUCAUCAGAGACUUAAAUACAAUGAAUCAUAGAAAAUUAACGAUCAUAUUGUUGCAGUUUUUUUCUCAUCACCUGAUUUCAAUUCAAGAAUAACAGAUAAAUAUAUCCAAAAAUUAACGAAAAAAGAAAUAAACCCUUGCCGAAGAUAGGAGAAAGAGGAAUUGGCUGCCAUUGAUGGGUUCAGUUGAAGCCGACUAAGGAAUCCCCCUUUAUAUAAAAUAUUAGUGACAUAGGGUUUUAUGAUUUG